AUUGAACGCUGGCGGAAUGCUUUACACAUGCAAGUCGAACGGCAGCACGGGGCAACCUGGUGGCGAGUGGCGAACGGGUGAGUAAUACAUCGGAACGUGCCCAAUCGUGGGGAUAACGUAGCGAAGUUACGCUAAUACCGCAUACGAUCUACGGAUGAAAGCGGGGAUCGCAAGACCUCGCGCGAAUGGAGCGGCCGAUGUCAGAUUAGGUAGUUGGUGGGGUAAAGGCUCACCAAGCCAACGAUCUGUAGCUGGUCUGAGAGGACGACCAGCCACACUGGAACUGAGCACGGUCCAGACUCCUACGGGAGGCAGCAGUGGGGAAUUUUGGACAAUGGGCGCAAGCCUGAUCCAGCCAUUCCGCGUGCAGGAUGAAGGCCUUC
rnacentral:rRNA from 1 species